GCGUGAGCGUAAUGCUGCCAAAAAUAAAAUCUUCACCCUGCUGGUUCUCGCGGUUCUACUUGGCCUCACCUGGGGUCUGAUUUUCUUCUCAGUGGGUCACCUGAACACUCCUGUCCUCUACAUCUUCUGCAUUAUGAACUCUCUGCAAGGUCUCUUCAUCUUUGUUUACUUUGUGUUCAGCCU